CCUACGGGAGGCAGCAGUGAGGAAUAUUGGUCAAUGGUCGGGAGACUGAACCAGCCAAGCCGCGUGAGGGAUGAAGGUACAGAGUAUCGUAAACCUCUUUUGUCAGGGAACAAAGGCGGGGACGUGUCCCCGGAUGAGUGUACCUGAAGAAAAAGCAUCGGCUAACUCCGUGCCAGCAGCCGCGGUAAUACGGAGGAUGCGAGCGUUAUCCGGAUUUAUUGGGUUAAAAGGGUGCGCAGGCGGUCUGUUAAGUCAGCGGUAAAAGCCCGGGGCUACACCCCGGCCCGCCGUUGAAACUGGCAGUCUCGAGUUGGAGAGAAGUAUGCGGAAUGCGCGGUGUAGCGGUGAAAUGCAUAGAUAGCGCGCAGAACUCCGAUUGCGAAGGCAGCAUGCCGGCUCCACACUGACGCUGAGGCACGAAAGCGUGGGUAUCGAACAGGAUUAGAUACCCUGGUAGUC
rnacentral:rRNA from 1 species